rnacentral:rRNA from 1 species
AUUGAACGCUGGCGGCAUGCUUUACACAUGCAAGUCGAACGGUAACAGGCCGCAAGGUGCUGACGAGUGGCGAACGGGUGAGUAAUGCAUCGGAACGUGCCCAGUCGUGGGGGAUAACGCAGCGAAAGCUGUGCUAAUACCGCAUACGAUCUAUGGAUGAAAGCGGGGGACCGUAAGGCCUCGUGCGAUUGGAGCGGCCGAUGUCAGAUUAGGUAGUUGGUGGGGUAAAGGCUCACCAAGCCAACGAUCUGUAGCUGGUCUGAGAGGACGACCAGCCACACUGGGACUGAGACACGGCCCAGACUCCUACGGGAGGCAGCAGUGGGGAAUUUUGGACAAUGGGCGCAAGCCUGAUCCAGCAAUGCCGCGUGCAGGAAGAAGGCCUUCGGGUUGUAAACUGCUUUUGUACGGAACGAAAAGGUCUGGGUUAAUACCCUGGGCUGAUGACGGUACCGUAAGAAUAAGCACCGGCUAACUACGUGCCAGCCGCCGCUGUAA